UGGGGAAUUGUUCGCAAUGGGCGCAAGCCUGACGACGCAACGCCGCGUGGAGGAUGAAGAUUUUCGGAUCGUAAACUCCUGUCGAAUGGGACGAAUAGAUUGCGGGUUAACAGCCCGCGAUCCUGACGGUACCGUUAAAGGAAACCCCGGCUAACUCCGUGCCAGCAGCCGCGGUAAUACGGGGGGGGUAAGCGUUGUUCGGAAUUACUGGGCGUAAAGGGCUCGUAGGCGGCCAACUAAGUCAUACGUGAAAUCCCUCAGCUUAACUGGGGAACUGCGUGUGAUACUGGAUGGCUUGGAUUUGGGAGAGGGAUGCGGAAUUCCAGGUGUAGCGGUGAAAUGCGUAGAUAUCUGGAGGAACACCGGUGGCGAAGGCGGCAUCCUGGACCAAUAUUGACGCUGAGGAGCGAAAGCUAGGGGAGCAAAC
rnacentral:rRNA from 1 species